UACGGGGGGGGCAAGCGUUGUUCGGAAUUACUGGGCGUAAAGGGCUCGUAGGUGGCCAACUAAGUCAGACGUGAAAUCCCUCAGCUUAACUGGGGAACUGCGUCUGAUACUGGAUGGCUUGAGGUUGGGAGAGGGAUGCGGAAUUCCAGGUGUAGCGGUGAAAUGCGUAGAUAUGUGGAGGAACACCGAUGGCGAAGGCAGCCCCCUGGGUCAAAACUGACGCUCAUGCACGAAAGCGUGGGGAGCAAACAGG
rnacentral:rRNA from 1 species